GACGAACGCUGGCGGCGUGCUUAACACAUGCAAGUCGAACGGUGAAGCGCCUUCCUCUUUGGUGGGUGUGGAUGAGUGGCGAACGGGUGAGUAACACGUUAGUAACCUGCCUCUUCCUUCUGGAUAACCGCAUGAAAGUGUGGCUAAUACGGGAUAUUCCGGGUCUGUCGCAUGAUGGGUCUGGGAAAGAUUUUGUUUCGGUGGGGGAUGGGCUCGCGGCCUAUCAGCUUGUUGGUGGGGUGAUGGCCUACCAAGGCGGUGACGGGUAGCCGGCCUGAGAGGGUGGGCGGUCCCGCAAGGGAGAAGACACGGACCAGACUACUAGGGGAGGCAGCGGGGAGGAAUGUUGCACGGUGGGAGGAAGGAUGAUGCAGCGACGCGGGGGGGAAGAAGGAGGCCGUCGGGUAGUGAACCUCUGUCGGGAGAGAAGCAGGCCUGCCUCGUUUGUGGGUGGGUUGACGGUAGCUGGAGAAGAAGCGCCGGCUAACUACGUG
rnacentral:rRNA from 1 species